rnacentral:rRNA from 1 species
ACUGACCGGUCCUUAAUCGGGCCUUUCCUUCGGGACAGUUGAAGACAGGUGGUGCAUGGUUGUCGUCAGCUCGUGUCGUGAGAUGUUGGGUUAAGUCCCGCAACGAGCGCAACCCCUAUUACUAGUAGCCAGCGGUUCGGCCGGGCACUCUAGGUGAGACGUGCCGGGGAUAACCCGGAGGAAGGUGGGGAUGACGUCAAAUCAUCAUGCCCCUUACGAUUUGGGCUACACACGUGCUACAAUGGCGUAAACAAAGGGAAGCGACCCUCGUGAGAGUGAGCAAAUCUCAAAAAUAACGUCUCAGUUCGGAUUGUAGUCUGCAACUCGACUACAUGAAGCUGGAAUCGCUAGUAAUCGC